UACGGAGGAUCCGAGCGUUAUCCGGAUUUAUUGGGUUUAAAGGGUGCGUAGGCGGCCUAUUAAGUCAGGGGUGAAAGACGGUAGCUUAACUAUCGCAGUGCCUUUGAUACUGAUGGGCUUGAAUGUACUUGAGGUAGGCGGAAUGUGACAAGUAGCGGUGAAAUGCAUAGAUAUGUCACAGAACACCAAUUGCGAAGGCAGCUUACUAAAGUAUGAUUGACGCUGAGGCACGAAAGCGUGAGGAUCAAACAGG
rnacentral:rRNA from 1 species